rnacentral:rRNA from 1 species
UACGAAGGGGGCUAGCGUUGUUCGGAAUUACUGGGCGUAAAGCGCACGUAGGCGGAUAAUUAAGUCAGGGGUGAAAUCCCAGAGCUCAACUCUGGAACUGCCUCUGAUACUGGGUAUCUUGAGUAUGGAAGAGGUGAGUGGAAUUGCGAGUGUAGAGGUGAAAUUCGUAGAUAUUCGCAGGAACACCAGUGGCGAAGGCGGCUCACUGGUCCAUAACUGACGCUGAGGUGCGAAAGCGUGGGGAGCAAACAGG